UGAUUAAGUAAGUAAGGGCGUACGGUGGAUGCCUAGGCACUUGAAACUGAAGAAGGACGCAACAAACGGCGAAACGCGACGGGGAGUGGUACGUACACAAAGAUCCGUCGAUAUCCGAAUGGGGAAACCCGUCAUCUGUAAUAGGAUGGCAUCCAUGGAUGAAUCCAUAGUCCAUGAGAGAGGUACCCGGAGAACUGAAACAUCUAAGUACCCGGAGGAAAAGAAAACAAAAGUGAUUUCCUGNNNNNNNNNNAAACAAAAGUGAUUUCCUGAGUAGCGGCGAGCGAAAGGGAAGGAGCCCAAACCAUCUCUUGAGAUGGGGUUGUAGGACCACGAUAUGGCAAGAGCAUUGUUAGGAGAACGGCAUUGAAAGGCCGACCGCAGGGGGUGCAAGUCCCGUAUCCGAAAACGAUGUGAAGCCUAGUGGGAUCCUGAGUACGGCGAGACACGAGAAAUCUUGUCGGAAGCAGGCGGGACCAUCCGUCAA
rnacentral:rRNA from 1 species